GGGCCCAGCCCUCCAGCUCUUAACCCAGCAGAGAGUGCACCUGGCCAAGCCGUGGGCUGCCAGCUUUCCCAGGAGUAUAUUAUGGGAGACAGUGUGAAAGGCUUUGCUGAAGUCCAGAUAGACCACAUCUACAGCUUUCCCCCUGUCCACCAGGCAGGUCAGCUGAUCAUAAAAGGAGAUCAGAGAGCUUUUGCCGAGGAGCAGUCUUUCAAGGAGUAACGGUGAGAGCGUCUCGCUGGGGCAAGCACCUGAGGUCCCUGGAUCAUCGCUCAAGGAAGGGGCCGAGGGAUGAGCCGUGUGCCGGGAAACAGCACAGGAGAGGGGAGCAGCGCACGUGAACAGGUGAAAGAGGCCAUCGGCACAAGUGUGGAGAAGAGCUAGGUGAACACUGGUGAGCAAGAUGAGUGUGGACUCCUUGACAGAAG